rnacentral:rRNA from 1 species
AUGGGGGAGUCGCUGCUCACCGCGCUCUCCAUGGACACCGCCACGGCCCACCACCCGCACCAGGGCCCCUCCACCUUCCUCUCCAUGGACACUGCCUCCCACGACGAGUUCGACCUCUUCCUCCCGCCGCCAGGCCCCUUCCAGCGCUGCCUCCAUGCCGCCGCAGCCGCCCCCCCUGACAUCAACCUCCCCCUCGCCGCCGACCCGUCUCCUCCCCCUCCGGCCCUGCAGACCACCACCCUCCAUGAGUCCAACGUCGACAUGCUAGAUGUUGGCCUCGGCUGCCCGCAGCUCUAUGACUCGGACUCGCCUGCUGCUGCCGCCGCGACCUCCGCCCCGGUGUCCACCACAACAACUGUCCAUGUGUCUCACACCAAGAGCUCCGGUUCCAGCGCCGCGCGCAAGUGCGUGAAGCGGAACGAUAGCAUCUGGGGUGCAUGGUUCUUCUUCACCCACUACUUCAAGCCGGUCAUGUCGGCUGAUAAGGGCGGCAAGACGAAGGCACCCGCUGCUGCCGGGAAUGGUAAUAGUGCCACACUGGAUGCUUUCCUGGUGCAGCAUGACAUGGAGAACAUGUACAUGUGGGUGUUUAAGGAUCGGCCGGAGAAUGCCCUGGGGAAGAUGCAGCUGAGGAGCUUCAUGAAUGGUCACUCGCGCCUCGGGGAGCCACAGUUUCCUUUCAGCGCAGACAAAGGGUUUGUGCGCUCACACCGGAUGCAGCGUAAGCACUACCGGGGGUUGUCAAACCCGCAGUGCCUUCAUGGGAUUGAGAUCGUGCGGGCACCAAACUUAGUGGGUGUUCCUGAGGCCGAUAUGAAGAGGUGGUUCGAGCUCACCGGGAGAGAUGCCAAUUUCUCCGUUCCCACUGAGGCGGAUGAUUUUGAAUCAUGGAGGAAUCUGCCGACCACGGAAUUUGAGCUCGAGAGGCCUGCAACUGCUGCUCCAGCAAAGAGCACCUCACAUGGCCAUCACAAGAAGGUGCUGAAUGGUUCUGGCCUUAACCUGUCGACACAUGCAUCAAAACAUGGUUCUGGGGAUGGUAUGGACAUCUCAGCUGUCUGCCACAAACGUAGGAAGGAUUCCUCCCCCUCUGCCAUGGAAGAGGAUUGCAGCAAUUCAAAUUCAGACAAGGUUCAGGAUAUGGAUGUGAGCCACACUUUUGAGCCAUCAUGGACAAAUGACUUCACCGGUGUGAUGCGUCAUGCUUCUGGGCCAGUAACUGCCGCAAAAACAAUAUAUGAAGAUAGCAAGGGCUACUUGAUCAUCAUUAGCCUGCCAUUUGCUGAUAUACAGAAGGUGAAGGUUACCUGGAAGAACACUCUUACGAAUGGCGUCGUUAAGAUAUCAUGCACUAGCGUGGGACGGAUGCCAUUCUUGAAGCGACAUGAUCGGACCUUCAAGUUGACGGAUCCUUCACCUGAGCAUUGUCCACCAGGGGAGUUCAUCCGGGAAGUUCCAUUGCCUACCCGGAUCCCAGAAGAUGCUACUCUGGAAGCAUACUGUGAUGAAUCAGGAACAGGCCUAGAGAUUAUUGUCCCUAAACACCGUGCUGGACCUGAAGAACAUGAAGUCCGUGUGUCCCUGAGGCCUCCCUCAUCAUGGUGCCAAUGA